AAUGAACGUUGGCGGCGUGGAUUAGGCAUGCAAGUCGAGCGAGAAGCUCUCUUCGGAGAGUGGACAGCGGCAAACGGGGUAGUAAGGCAUCGGUAACGUACCCCAGGACCAGGAUAGCCGCGGGAAACUGCGGGUAAUACUGGAUAAUAUCUCCGGAUCAAAUGGUGAGAUUCCGCCUGGGGACCGGCUGAUGUGAUACCAGCUAGUUGGUUGGGUAACGGCUGACCAAGGCUUAGACGUCUAGGGGUGUGAGAGCAUGGCCCCCACCACUGGGACUGAGACACUGCCCAGACACCUACGGGUGGCUGCAGUCGAGAAUCUUCGGCAAUGGGCGAAAGCCUGACCGAGCGACGCCGCGUGCGGGAUGACGGCCCUUGGGUUGUAAACCGCUGUCAGAGGGGAUGAAAUUCUAGAAGGCUAUCCUUCUAGUUUGACAAAGCCUCAGAGGAAGCCCGGG
rnacentral:rRNA from 1 species